GUUAAAGCCAUUAUACCGCGGUCUGCUUCCUGUUUUUCAGAACACACUGAAGAUGGUUUUUCCUGAUCUCACGAUACACUUGCAGCUGAUGUGAUCUAUGACGCAUGACUAGGUGGAUAAGGCGCCAUACCAUAAAUCCGGGGACCCUGGUUCGAUUCCGGCCCAAGGUCAUUUCCCAAUCCCUCCCCGUCUCUCCCGCUCAUUUCCUGUCUCUACACUGUCCUAUCCAAUAAUAAAGGUCUCUGGAGCUGUUUUUCUGGACAGAGGGACUGUGGACCGUGGCUUAAUGAAGGCCUGCACUGCAAACAGCUUGCUGUGGGUGCAGACUGGAUGUUCCUGCCACAACACGCGCUUCCUGUGGCCAGUGACGCACUCCUCCAGACUGACUGCAUCUCUACUGGGCAGCGUGCCAGAUGCAUUCAUUGUGUGAAAGUAAUUCGUGAUCUGGACACUAAACUUUUAUUUUCUGAAACUAGAUACAUGAGCAAAUACGACCAAAUAAGUGGCAAUCAGGAAGGUGUCAUAAAAUAUCUCACAUUUGUCUACAAACGUUUGAAUGAUCGUAGAUGUGUUUGUGUGGCGCUGCUGUGAAACUGUAAUUAUGUAUACAGGACCUUUUUUCCCCAUAUAUGCAUUUCACUUGUGCUGAAAAACUGUUUUUCAGGUUAAGAGAAAUGUUUGUGCUAAUGUGCAAUUUGUUUACCUUAGAAUUCUCAAGAGGUGUCAUUUUCAUGUCCCUUUAGUAGAGCUGAUGAGGACAUGGUUUUAGGUGGGAAAUGUGGUAUCUAUUGGGAUCUUCAGGGUCACCCUUCCUCUUAAUUCUUCAGGCUUUUUGUAGCCAUGUUCAGCUGACUGUUUAGAAAUGUUGUUGGAGUAAUCACUGUCUUAAUGAGAACACUGCAUAUCACAGGUCAAAUAUAAAUGGUACUCUUUAAUUUCCAAAA